GUUGAGAGACUCGCCAGGAUGAGGGAGGUGGACGUCAUAUGCCGGGUGAGACGGCUGAGCAUCCGGAGCACUGACUCUGGGGAGGGGGAAGCCGAGGGGGAGGGCAAAGAGGACCACGUGGAGGAGCUCCACCGAGUACCGCAGGAAGGAGAGGCGAACAAUCAAGAGGUCACACAUUCACAGCAGGUAGCUGAGGAGACAGUGUUGCAAGAUGGACAGAAAUCAUCUCUCUCAGAAACCCCUGAUCCGAGCCGAGAGGGGACAAAGUAGACAAAAAAACAAACAAGCAAACUGCGUCCAUCAUUAACAUCAGAGGUUUUUAGCUCCAACACUGUGACCUGGCUGCCUACUAGAAUGCCUUCAUCUCAUCUCGACACUGAAAUGGCCUUCUUGUCCGACAAGAGCAUUGUGUACACCUUCACCUCCGGCGCUGCAUUGACUACUACGAGUGCUGUUCCACUGCCAAAGGGAGGUGCUCUGCAGACCCGCAGGGCAACUUCCACUCCGGACCCCUCUCCAGCCUUCCUGAACUGACUUCCCACCUCCCCCAUCUGUCCUCCGCUCCCCGACCCCAUCCUCCUAUAGCGUUUCUACUAGUUAGACUUCUCGUAGCGGCUUGUCUUUUCUAUUCUGUCCUCCCGAUGCUUUUUUCUCAUUAGCAAAACAUUAUGCAACUCUGUCAUGCAUACCAGAGCUUCUAAAUUUUGGAAUGGCGACAAAGUCUUUGUCGCCGUCCAAACAAAUGUUGGUUUAUUUGUUUUGUUUUUUUUUCUUCUGUGGAGCAGUUUAAGGAUAUGAAUGUAAGUGUUUAUGUUAUAGCCAACAUAGACGUAGAAGGGUUAUCUUUUAUGAAACCUGUUUCUGUUGCAUUUAAACUACACCAAAACAAACUGCGUAUCUGAUUGUGGUCAGGUGACGGCUGUUUUUAAGAACUGGACUUCACUGUCUUUGGCUUGAGAACUGUUUUAAUUUUCAGAAGAGAUAAGUGCGCCUUUCUUUGUUUUUUUAGUUUUUUUUUUUUUUUUUUUGAAGGUUUGAUGACGUUAUGCCCGCUCUCAUUGCUUUUCUACACACUGCAACCUUAACCCACAGAUCUCUUCAAUGAAGAGCUUCUCUAUAUUACACGACAUGAUGGAUGAGCUGUCCAAAUACGUGUCACACUGGUUCUACACACGACAGGAAGUGUUGCCUUUCUUUACCACCUUCGUAAAUCCUGGUCGGAUCAGGGGGGGGAGGGGGUCUUUAAUUACAACCUGAUGAUUUUAAUGUAAAGUUCAAAUUUCCAGGUAAUUCCAGGAAGCAAUAAAGGCACAUAUAGAUUUGGUGAUCGGUGACUUUUGGAAAAACAUUAAAGAUGAACGUAUGGGUUAAAAAAAAAAAAAAAAAAAAAGAUACGUAGAGCAAUAGUGUUUUAUUAACAGCCCAGUGGUGUAGUGGAGCUACCUGUAGGAGCCAUUGUCAGAAGUUUUAAUGUGAACACGUCAUUCAGAUCAUAUUACAGGGAUAUGGAGUCAUGUCAGGGUAUAUGGGCGCUUAACAUAGGGUGGGUGCUUUUCUUCAUGAUAUAUAUAACUAUCUUCAUACAUCUGUGAAACAACAUUUCACUGAGUAUCUAUUUUUUUUAAACCAUCAAAUUGUUAAUCGGUUUGCAUAAUUGUACAAAAUAAAGUAUAUUUUAAAUAUUUUAAGAGAAAUUUUGUAUUUAACCAUUAAAAUUUUAUUUCUCCGCGCAGAUAUCAAGCUAAAAAGUGUCAUAUCUAAGUAUAGAAUCAUAUUCAGAGUAUACGUAAUUUUCUAGUGCUUUAAAAAAACCAACAACAAAAAAAAAACCUAUCAUUUCAGAAGGAUGACCCCCGUUGUGUGCCUUGAUCACACGAUUUGGACUCAGUGAGCGAUAGGGUUCAUCACUGCAAGGUUUGACAGGACGGAAACUUUCUGAUUGUGCCAUUAUUUACGAUUUGAUAGUGCUUUUUCAUAUGCUAACAAAGUUAAUGUUGGAUGCUCUUUGUGAUAUUUGACCCAUUAAUCCAUCGAAAGCUGUAUCUCCUAUGUUGGCGGUCAAACAGGACCUGUGUCUUUAUAUCUUUGUCUUUGUAUGUCUUCCAGUUCAUGUACUGUUGCGUUGUCGACUCGUUCCUCAAAACAUGUCAAGAAAUAAAAUUUGGAUUUCUUUUG